GGGCAAGCCCUGCUUCCUGGUUCUUCAGAUCCUCUACUGUGGGUCUGCUGUCUGAAAGAUGCUAGCUCGCGCAACGCAGUUGGCGAUCACCAGCUGGAGUGGGUGGAAUGCUGUUGGGAGCUACCUGAAUGGGUUGCUAACUCCCCUUUGGAGCUGCAAGUUGAGGUUCACGGAGCUACAAUAACACCCCCGCUUACGGGAAGGGAACACUGCUUUGCCGACCCCUGCUUUGCCUGCUGUUGUGUGUCGUUUGGCCUAGCUUGAUGCGCUAUCUGAGCCAAUUGACUGGAUUAGUGUCAAUGUGCGCCACUUGUUGGACUGUUGAGCGUAUGUGCGGUUAUGUGUACGUCUGUCUUCCACACUGGUAAUCGUCAAGCGAGAUGGCUGCGACCUCCGAA